UACGGAGGGUGCAAACGUUGCUCGGAAUCAUUGGGCGUAAAGCGCACGUAGGCGGCUUGUUAAGUCGGAUGUGAAAGCCCUCGGCUCAACCGAGGAAGUGCAUACGAAACUGGCGAGCUUGAAUAUGGAAGAGGGUCGCGGAAUUCCCGGUGUAGAGGUGAAAUUCGUAGAUAUCGGGAGGAACACCGGUGGCGAAGGCGGGUCUCUGGGCAUCUCCUGACGCUGAGGCGCGAAAGCGUGGGGAGCAAACGGG
rnacentral:rRNA from 1 species